ensembl:lncRNA
AUUUGUUUCAGUGUGGGAAAAACUUAGGGUGUUUGUGGGCAUGGAAAAAUUAGUUUGCAAAAGCAUUUUGUUUGAUAAAAUGAGGGGGCAAAUGCCGUUGAUAAAAUCUUAACGAUUCUGCAGUUCUGGUGUUGUGAAGGCCGGUUUGCCUAAACUAGUUGUACUUGAAGUAAGUGAAGCCGCUGAAGAGAAUUGCAGACCGUGCUUCGUGGUAUACUGUGGCAUGUCUGCUGUGUUGCAUGUCUAGACUAACUCAUGGUUUUUUGUUUUUUUUUCCUGUGUACAUUGGAGAUAUACUAGAAAACCCUCAGAAUUGCUUUGUUACCUGAAUUAAUGAUAACUGUUCACUUUAUAUGAGGUUCAGUUUUAACUAAUUGAAGAUCUUUUGUUUACUGUGGUUGGACUUUAAACCUUUUUUGGUCCCAAUUUUAGCAAGGAAAUUUGUUUUUAAACUACUUAAAUUUUUUUGUUUUUUAGCUCUUUUUAAUUGAAGUACACAGUACAGAAAAGUAGACAACUUACAGGUGUAUGGUUUGAAAUACCACAAAGUGACCACAUAUAACCAGCACCAGCAUCAAGAAAGACAACGUUACUGCUUCUAGAGGCUGCCUGAUUUCCUUGGUUCCUGGCCCCCUGUCCAUCUUCAAAGGCAACAGCGUUGCAUCUUCUAGUCUCUGCUCCCAGCACACCGCUUCACCCUGACCCUGCUGCUUCUGCAUAUCAGGAUCCAUGGGAUUAAAUCUGGCCCACAUGUUGCUCUGAUGGUAAAGCAUCUGCUUGCAAUGAGGGAGGCCUGGGUUUGAUCCCUGGC